CUGAGUUACCAAACUCCAAACCCGUGUGAACUUUACCACUGUUGCUUCGGCGGUAGCGCCCCGGGCGCCUUCGCGGCGACCCGGGCUCAGGCGCCCGCCGGGGGACCCGAGACUCUGUUUUUCUACCUGGAUCUUCUGAGUCACAGACAAAUAAAUCA
rnacentral:misc_RNA from 1 species